rnacentral:tRNA from 1 species
GCGAAUGUAGCCAAGUGGAUCAAGGCAG